UGGGACGUGGUGUACGGUGCACGGCUGCUUCUGUUUAAUGUCGUUGGGGCAAGUAAAAGCAGCAAGCCGGGGUUCGACUCCCUGCAUCCCAA